rnacentral:piRNA from 1 species
UGGACUUCCCUAUGAUCGUGACUUUCCCGCCU